UUGUAAUAGGCCAUAAUUUGCUAGUGAGGU
rnacentral:piRNA from 1 species